UUCGAUCAUAGCUCAGAUUGAACGCUGGCGGGAUGCUUUACACAUGCAAGUCGAACGGCACGGACUUCGGUCUGGUGGCGAGUGGCGAACGGGUGAGUAAUGUAUCGGAACGUGCUAGUAGCGGGGGAUAACUGCGAAAGCGUAGCUAAUACCACGCAUACGCCCUUCGAAGGGGAAAGCGAGACAUGGAGCCUCGCACUAUUAGAGCGGCCGAUAUCGGAUUAGCUAGUUGGUGGGGUAACGGCUCACCAAGGCGACGAUCCGUAGCUGGUUUGAGAGGACGACCAGCCACACUGGGACUGAGACACGGCCCAGACUCCUACGGAGGCAGCAGUGGGGAAUUUUGGACAAUGGGGGAAACCCUGAUCCAGCCAUCCCGCGUGUGCGAUGAAGGCCUUCCGGGUUGUAAAGCACUUUUGGCAGGAAAGAAACGGCACGGGAUAAUGCCCCGUGCAACUGACGGUACCUGCAGAAUAAGCACCGGCUAACUACGUGCACCCAGCAGCCGCGGUAAUACGUAGGGUGCAAGCGUUAAUCGGAAUUACUGGGCGUAAAGCGUGCGCAGGCGGUUCCGGAAGAAGAUGUGAAAUCCCAGAGCUUAACUUUGGAACUGCAUUUUUAACUACCGAGCUAGAGUGUGUCAGAGGGAGGUGGAAUUCCGCGUGUAGCAGUGAAAUGCGUAGAUAUGCGGAGGAACACCGAUGGCGAAGGCAGCCUCCUGGGAUAACACUGACGCUCAUGCACGAAAGCGUGGGGAGCAAACAGGAUUAGAUACCCUGGUAGUCCACGCCCUAAACGAUGUCAACUAGCUGUUGGGGCCUUCGGGUCUUGGUAGGCGCAGCUAACGCGUGAAGUUGACCGCCUGGGGAGUACGGUCGCAAGAUUAAAACUCAAAGAAAUUCGACAGGGACCCGCACAAGCUGAUGGAUGAUGUGGAUUAAUUCGAUGCAACGCGAAAAACCUUACCUACCCUUGACAUGUCUGGAAUCCCGAAGAGAUUUGGGAGUGCUCGCAAGAGAACCGGAACACAGGUGCUGCAUGGCUGUCGUCAGCUCGUGAGAUGUUGGGUUAAGUCCCGCAGGCGCAGCCGCAUCAUUAGUUGCUACGAAAGGGCACUCUAAUGAGACUGCCGGUGACAAACCGGAGGAAGGUGGGGAUGACGUCAAGUCCUCAUGGCCCUUAUGGGUAGGGCUUCACACGUCAUACAAUGGUCGGGACAGAGGGUCGCCAACCCGCGAGGGAGCCAAUCCCAGAAACCCGAUCGUAGUCCGGAUCGCAGUCUGCAACUCGACUGCGUGAGUCGAAUCCUUUAGUAAUCGCGGAUCAGCAUGUCGCGGUGAAUACGUUCCCGGGUCUUGUACACACCGCCCGUCACACCACGGGAGUGGGUUUACCCAGAAGUAGUUAGCCUAACCGUAAGAGGAGGACGAUUACCACGGUAGGAUUCAUGACUGGGAGUGAAGUCGUAACAAGGUAAG
rnacentral:rRNA from 1 species